rnacentral:rRNA from 1 species
CCAGACUCCUACGGGAGGCAGCAGUGAGGAAUAUUGGUCAAUGGUCGGGAGACUGAACCAGCCAAGCCGCGUGAGGGAGGAAGGUACAGAGUAUCGUAAACCUCUUUUGUCAGGGAACAAAGACUGGGACGCGUCCCCGGAUGAGUGUACCUGAAGAAAAAGCAUCGGCUAACUCCGUGCCAGCAGCCGCGGUAAUACGGAGGAUGCGAGCGUUAUCCGGAUUUAUUGGGUUUAAAGGGUGCGCAGGCGGUCUGUUAAGUCAGCGGUCAAAUUGCGGGGCUCAACCCCGUACUGCCGUUGAAACUGGCGUUCUUGAGUGAGCGAGAAGUAUGCGGAAUGCGUGGUGUGGCGGUGAAAUGCAUAGAUAUCACGCAGAACUCCGAUUGCGAAGGCAGCAUACCGGCGCUCAACUGACGCUCAUGCACGAAAGUGUGGGUAUCGAACAGGAUUAGAUACCCCCGUAA